GUAGGUGAACCUGCGGAAGGAUCAUUACCGAGUUAGGGUCCUCAAAGGCCCGAUCUCCCAACCCUUUGCUUAUUAUACCUUGUGUUGCUUCGGUAGGUCUGGCUCGUCCUACCGGAGGACCGUAAAACGUCCUCUGGAGAGUGCCUACCGAUAGCCCAAACCAAAAACUCUUGAACAAAACAUGUCUUGUCUGAGUAAACAAAAAAAUUAAAGCAAAACUUUCAACAACGGAUCUCUUGGUUCUG
rnacentral:misc_RNA from 1 species